rnacentral:rRNA from 1 species
UACGGGGGGGGCAAGCGUUGUUCGGAAUUCCUGGGCGUAAAGGGCUCGUAGGCGGCCAACUAAGUCAGACGUGAAAUCCCUAGGCUCAACCUAGGAACUGCGUCUGAUACUGGAUGGCUUGAAUCCGGGAGAGGGAUGCAGAAUUCCAGGUGUAGCGGUGAAAUGCGUAGAUAUCUGGAGGAAUACCGGUGGCGAAGGCGGCAUCCUGGACCGGCAUUGACGCUGAGGAGCGAAAGCCAGGGGAGCAAACGGG